UGGGGAAUAUUGCGCAAUGGGGGCAACCCUGACGCAGCAACGCCGCGUGCGGGACGACGGCCUUCGGGUUGUAAACCGCUUUCAGCAGGGAAGAUAGUGACGGUACCUGCACAAGAAGCCCCGGCUAACUACGUGCCAGCAGCCGCGGUAAUACGUAGGGGGCGAGCGUUAUCCGGAUUCAUUGGGCGUAAAGCGCGCGCAGGCGGCUGUUCAAGCGGAACCUCUAACCCCGGGGCUCAACCUCGGGCCGGGUUCCGAACUGGAGGGCUCGAGUGCGGUAGAGGCAGGCGGAAUUCCCGGUGUAGCGGUGGAAUGCGCAGAUAUCGGGAAGAACACCGAUGGCGAAGGCAGCCUGCUGGGCCGGCACUGACGCUGAGGCGCGAAAGCUAGGGGAGCGAACAGG
rnacentral:rRNA from 1 species